ACGGGGUGCAGCAGGCGCGAAAACUCUACAAUGCAGGCAACUGCGAUAGGGGGACAUCGAGUGGCGCUCACUUUGGGCGCCUGUCCCACCGUCUAAAAAACGGUGGUUAGCAAGGGCCGGGUAAGACCGGUGCCAGCCGCCGCGGUAAUACCGGCGGCUCAAGUGGUGGCCACUAUUACUGGGCUUAAAGCGUCCGUAGCUGGAUUGUUAAGUCUCUUGGGAAAUCUACCGGCUUAACCGAUAGGCGUUCAAGGGAUACUGGCAACCUAGGGACCGGAAGAGGUGAGAGGUACUCCAGGGGUAGGAGUGAAAUCCUGUAAUCCUUGGGGGACCACCUGUGGCGAAGGCGUCUCACCAGAACGGCUCCGACAGUGAGGGACGAAAGCUGGGGGAGCAAACCGGAUUAGAUACCCGGGUAGUCCCAGCUGUAAACGAUGCGCGUUAGGUGUAUCGGUGACCACGAGUCACCGAGGUGCCGAAGAGAAAUCGUGAAACGUGCCGCCUGGGAAGUACGGUCGCAAGGCUGAAACUUAAAGGAAUUGGCGGGGGAGCA
rnacentral:rRNA from 1 species